rnacentral:rRNA from 1 species
CAGUCGCCACGGGAAAACGGAGGGUGCGAGCGUUAAUCGGAAUAACUGGGCGUAAAGGGCACGCAGGCGGUGACUUAAGUGAGGUGUGAAAGCCCCGGGCUUAACCUGGGGAUUGCAUUUCAUACUGGGUCGCUAGAGUACUUUAGGGAGGGGUAGAAUUCCACGUGUAGCGGUGAAAUGCGUAGAGAUGUGGAGGAAUACCGAAGGCGAAGGCAGCCCCUUGGGAAUGUACUGACGCUCAUGUGCGAAAGCGUGGGGAGCAAACAGGAUUAGAUACCCCAGUAGUCCCUGUCUCUUAUAC